rnacentral:rRNA from 1 species
CCAACACUUGACAUGUUCGUCGCGACUCUAAGAGAUUAGGGUUUUCGGUUCGGCCGGACGAAACACAGGUGCUGCAUGGCUGUCGUCAGCUCGUGUCGUGAGAUGUUGGGUUAAGUCCCGCAACGAGCGCAACCCUCACUUUUAGUUGCCAUCAUUUAGUUGGGCACUCUGAAAGAACUGCCAGUGAUAAGCUGGAGGAAGGUGGGGAUGACGUCAAGUCCUCAUGGCCCUUAUGUGUUGGGCUACACACGUGCUACAAUGGUAUUUACAAUAGGAAGCAAGAUGGCAACGUCAAGCAAAUCCUAAAAAAAUACCUCAGUUCGGAUUGUACUCUGCAACUCGAGUACAUGAAGCUGGAAUUACUAGUAAUCGCGGAUCAGCGCGCCGCGGUGAAUGCGUUCCCGGGUCUUGUACACACCGCCCGUCACACCAUGGGAGUUGGUUCUACCUUAAGGCAAGGUUUAAAACCCUUGACUACGGUAUAGUCAGCGACUGGGGUGAAGUCGUAACAAGGUA